rnacentral:misc_RNA from 1 species
AAGAGUUCUAACAAACUCCCAAACCCUUGUGAACAUACCUGUAUGUCGUUGCUUCGGCGGACAGCCCCGGGGAGGGGCCGCGCCUCUAGCGAGGUGUCUGCCGGAGGACCAAACAAAACUAUUGAAUCAUUGGCCUCUCUGAGUAUAAUACAAAUAAGUUA